rnacentral:rRNA from 1 species
CAAUAGCGUAUAUUAAAGUUGUUGCAGUUAAAAAGCUCGUAGUUGGACUUCUGAUUCGAAAGAUCGGUCCGCCGCAAGGCGAGCACUGAUUCUUCGAGUCUUCCUCUCGUAGUUGUUUGGCGCACUUGAUUGGGUGCCAGAUGAAUAUGGGACCUUUACUUUGAAAAAAUUAGAGUGUUCAAGCAGGCACACGCCUUGAAUACAUUAGCAUGGAAUAAUAAGAUAGGACCUUGGUUCUAUUUUGUUGGUUUCUAGAGCUGAGGUAAUGAUUAAUAGGGAUAGUGGGGGCAUUCGUAUUACGGUGUUAGAGGUGAAAUUCUUGGAUCGCCGUAAGACGAACUACUGCGAAAGCAUUUGCCAAGAAUGUUUUCAUUGAUCAAGAACGAAAGUUAGGGGAUCGAAGACGAUUAGAUUACCA